GAGGAAGGUAGGGAGAGAAGAGAGAAGAGGUGGCGAGAUGAGUGACGAGUGACAAACUGCAAGUUUCACCUUUUUCUUUCUUUCUUUCUUUCUUUCUGUCUUUUCCCCUC
rnacentral:ribozyme from 1 species